rnacentral:rRNA from 1 species
AACGAACGCUGGCGGCAUGCCUAACACAUGCAAGUCGAACGAGACCUUCGGGUCUAGUGGCGCACGUGUGCGUAACGCGUGGGAACCUGCCCUUAGGUUCGGAAUAACUCCCCGAAAGGUGUGCUAAUACCGGAUAAUGUCUUCGGACCAAAGAUUUAUCGCCUUUGGAUGGGCCCGCGUUGGAUUAGCUAGUUGGUAGGGUAAAAGCCUACCAAGGCGACGAUCCAUAGCUGGUCUGAGAGGAUGAUCAGCCACACUGGGACUGAGACACGGCCCAGACUCCUACGGGAGGGAGCAGUGGGGUAUAUUGGACAAUGGGCGAAAGCCUGAUCCAGCAAUGCCGCGUGAGUGAUGAAGGCCUUAGGGUUGUAAAGCUCUUUUACACGGGAUGAUAAUGACAGUAACGGGAGAAUAAGCUCCGGCUAACUCCGUG